rnacentral:lncRNA from 1 species
UGUACUAGUGUUGUAAUUUUUCAAGUUAAAAGUGUCCCUAAAGGCCACUUCCUAUAUCUGAUUUUUCCCAGUAAAUGAGGCAAAGCAAUUCUAAGACCUUCCACAAACAUCUAGCCUUCUAAAAUGGAGAGGUGAAUCCUUCUGCCUAUACAAACAAGCUAGCUAUUAGAGGGUGGUCGGGGUAUGCUACUCUUAGGAUUUCAGAGUGUCUUCAAACUGAAAUCUCAAUGUUCUCAGUAAUGAAAAACCUGAGAUCAGAUGCUUAUGUAAGGAAAGUGCUAUUCACCCAGUAAAUCCAAAAAAGCAAAUGGAUAAUGCUGGCCAUAUUUUGCCUUUCUGACAUUUCCUUGGGAAUCUACAAGAACCUCCCCUCUCCCCUCCCCCAAUAAGACCAUUUAAGUGUGUGUUAAGCAACUACAGAAUACUAAAUAAAAAGUUUGGCCAAAACCAACCAUGAAGCUGCAAACGGUGCUUGCUCUUACUGUUUCAAAUUUUUGCAACUCUGUAGUGUCUCACUUUUAAGGAACAGCUUGAUUGCAAAGGAGAAAAUAGAUAAGCAAUGAAGUUAUCUCCAACUUCUCAAAGGCUUAUGACUUCUAAAAAGUGAAUCUAUCAGCAUUCCACAUCAGAUUUAAAGCAUCAAAUGCCUGUGAAACAGCAAAGAUGGUUGAGGAUUUUGGUCAUUAUGGUUGGAGUGCUGAUUUAUUCACACUAGAUAAAGCUGGCAGCAAGAGAAAUCAAAUGCUAAGAGUUGUUGAAGCAGAAGAAUGCUGAUUGUCGAUAAGGCACAACAGUUGCAUAAGCAGUACUCAUCAGAAUUGGUUUGGUGCAGGCAAUAGAUUUUGCCUUCGAGGGUUCCUGUGGAUCUAAGGAGGGAAGGCAUCAGUGUUGGUUAGCACUUAACUAGGGAGUGGUAGUUACUUCAAAAAAGUAAUUGACCAGAUAAAGGGGAGCAGUUAAGGAAAUUGGUAAGUGGAGGUAGUAAGUUCUUGUGGUUCUUUAUGUGGAUUUUACAGCUUUGGCUUUCAUUUUGUUAAAGUCCUAGGGGACAACUCUGUGAUUCCUAAUUAUCACUGACUGUCAGAAAGUUGAAGUAGAAAAAUGAAAGGCAUGAGUGGUAACUCUUUAUCCAGUAAACUGAUUUUUCAGCAAGUGGAAUAUUUGUAGUUUACCCAGAAGUGGGGUUCAGUCAUAAAAGAAGGGGAGGAGUAGUGUCUGGAACCUAAAGUAACUGGAAACAUAGCUAAAAUGACUGGAACAAAAUUGGGCCACUUGGCUUUUAAGUAUUUUGUAAGCCUGCUAUAACCCCACCACCUGUCUUAGAAGCAAACCAGUCAUGUUGAAGACCGAGCUGAGUAUAUAUAAAAGCUAAUGUUCUCAGAGGAACUGGAUUUGAAUUGUUGCGUUAGAACGAAGUACAAAAACUUCUGAGAUUUUUGUUUUCAUAGUAAAAUCAGUGCUUAUCGUGUUUAAUCUUGGCAAUUGUAGGAAAUAGUCCAAAUACUGUAACCCUCAUUGGACAGGCUCUUGUAAUUGCAGAUCAUGAUGAGGGUAUUGACCAAAUUUAAGUAGCUAUUGCACUUACAUAACUGUCUUCCUCAAUCCUCCAAUAAUGUAAACUACUUGGGAUUGUGCUUCUGAUGACUUUGGCUUUGGAGAUUUUUAGAUAUCUUGAAAAUAGUGUAGAACAUAGAAAUUAAUCAUAGUAAACGUAAAUACUAAAUUCAAAUUAAGCAAACCUAAAUGACUAUUCAGCUAUUUGGCAAAGUUUACUGACCCAGCAGACUUACUCUCCCAUUGGGAAAAGAAUCCAUCUUGAUUCUUCUGGCUUUAUAUUGGUUGUAAGACAGAAUGAUAAAAUGUUUUGUUUAACUGGUAGUUGAUUAUAGAACCUAGAUAUUAUAGAUCACUUUUCUCUUUUUGGAAUGUUUUGUAUUUGAAACUUAAUAAAACUUAACCUGCAUU